UCUACCUUCCUCCAAUAUAAAUUAAGCAUUAUGGAAUCAAAACAAUGGAAGCCCUAUUUACUUAUGAAUCUGCAGGGGGAUGGGAAGUCAAUAGGAAGGGAAGAACAGCAGGAAGUCUUCCUGCCUCUUGUAACAGGGUCAAUGAACUUUGGCAGAUAUAAGCAGAAACAGAAAGCCAUUUUGGAAUCCAACACUUGAUGGAUUCAAGGGGGCCAGAGCUCUUGCAAUCACAGACUGUUGGGUCCUUCAGCAAGGAGGGGGUUGAAGACUGAACUGAAUUUAGUCACCUGCUAACCAGAAGAUUACAAGCCAGAGGCUGAAGAGUUUUGGUAUCACAAGCUGACUGUUAAUGUGGGUCAUUUAAGUAAUAGAAAAUGCAAGCCCUGUGCGAAGCACAAUUAUGCCUGGAAUUUCUCCUCCUCUGCAACAGUGAUAAUUUCUUAUUCAAAUCUUCAAACAAGCUUCAGGACCACUGUUACAAUACAAGCCAGCUCUCUCAACAUCAGGGUUCCCAUGCCUGGGGAAACAAAGGUCAGCAUGGUGGGGAAACUGAGGCAAAGAGAUUUGCUCAGUAUUACACAGCAAGUCAGCAGUGAUAUUGGGAACAGAACCCAGGAGCCUUUGUUCCUAGUCAGCUGCUCUAGUCACAAGAUCACGUUCUGUGCACCAUAAGAGCUGCAGCAUGGACAGCAUCAAUUUAAGAAAAUGGGGAAGACUGUGUAGGAAUGUGACUUGACCUGAAGGAUCUACCUCUGAGGAGAAGAGUUUGUUCUCCAGGCCCACUCUAACCUUUACCCUCUGAGACUGGAGAAGGGAAGGAGGGGGGAGAGGGAGAGAAAGGGAGCAGUAUGUAAAAAUUUUCCAAGAACUGCUUAGUUUCACUGGUUACACAUUCCACAUGGUUUCCAAAAGGGUCUGUAGGAAAAAACAGCUGAAUUUGUGUGUUUAUUAUCCCUGCCAUAUCUUUUGCCAUGACUCUUAGAGCCCUUGAUCAUGUUUUGCUGUCUAAUGUAUUGGAGGUGAGCUAAUCCUUUCACUGGGAUUUCCGGACAGCUUCUACCCUACUGAGCCACUGUGCUCUGAGUAAGCUCCUUUCAUUAGUGUAUACAAGAAGGAUUGGUAUUGGUUUUCUGGUCAAAGGAUAAUUCUUGUAGGACAUGCUCAAUCCUGUGAUCUUAAGUAGGGCAUGGAAGCCCAUUUUAUGCCACGGAUAUCAGUCUUAGAGUGUUAGGAAACAUGCUUAAAACUGUAAUGAAAUACAUAUUUUGAUUCAGAGCCACUUUCUGCUUUCAGUAACAGACUUCACUGGGGUCAUACUAGCAUAAUUGAAGGCAUAACUUCGCUCUCUAUGUCUGCUUUUGUGGCAACAAGUAUGCUACACCUCUACCCAGAUAUAACGCGACCCGAUAGAACACAAAUUCGGAUAGAACGUGGUAAAGCAGUGCUCCGGGGGGGCGGGGCUACGCAAUCUGGCAGAUCAAAGCAAGUUCGAUAUAACCGCGUUAUAGGUGAAACUGCGUAAGAUUUUUUGGCUACCAAGGACAGCGUUAUAUCGGAGUAGAGGUGUACUAGGAUGUAGGUUCCAUCAGAAGUUCUGUCCGGCAUUGCAGGAAUAGUUUUUUUUUACUUGGGUGCACCAAAGUGAUUUUCAGAAAAUUGUGUAUUAAAAACACUAGGUCACAGUGUGACGUUGCAGUCUAGCAUAUUUUUAUAAAUCCAUAUAAUGAGUGAAUAUAAUGUAACUGGAAUAUGCUUCAUGCAAAAGGUCUCUUGUAAGGUAUC